rnacentral:misc_RNA from 1 species
CAUCAACAGUCGUCAGUCUUGUUUGAAACAGAUAACAGAGUUUCGAAAAUUUGCAUAAUAUGUACAUGACUAUUAUUUUAUAAACCACUAUAAUUUUAAUUCGUGUUUUUACUGUUGGUUAUGGUAUUAGUUAUAAAAUGAAGUAGCAAUAAUGUAGCAUACCUAAUAAAAAAAUCUUUAUUAUAACAAGAAAGAAACUGACUUAUAUGUUGAUAACAAUAGCAUUAGGCUACUACUGCCUAUAUCGUACCUAUAUUUUGAGUUUUCUGUGGAGAACGAAUGGCUCAAGUUAAUGAAGCUAAUGAAAUAUCAAAAACCUACCAAAAAUAAAAAUGCCAUUUAUGUCUGCCUGUCACCACAUAGAAAGCUUUCCGAAAGACACAACUCCUUGGUGAACCUAUUGUACUGCAUUAUAAAAGCGGAAGAAGGAGGUGAAAUCAACUUGCCGACUGUUUAGCUGUGGUAAAAGCUCUCAAAUCCAUGAAUCCAGGAACCUAUUCAAUUCUCAAGAACAUCUCUGUCAUAAUGUGGUCGGACCCGUUCACCAAGGAAGGUCGCAGUAAUCAAAGCAUUCAUUUUACUCCUAUUAUCAAGCACAUAGAAGACUGGCUUAUGAUGGCGAAAGACUUUUGAAGGCGGUUACCUUGAUUGGGAUCAUAUCUAUUAAACCUUCGAAUCCUGCACUCAAAAGUAAAUGUGAUACCAUUCAAAUGGAAUAAGAUUGAUUUGAAUUGGAAUUUGUUAUUCCUGUAUCAUAGUGCAUUUUUCUUCUAGUUACCCUACGUAUUGUACAUUAUUGUAAUAAAGCACUAGCUGUUCCAUAGUAGAAGUCUUUGAAAUAAAAGGUUUCUUUUUCAAGUUAGUGUCACAUUUUAUAUUUUUUAUCCAUUGUAUACGGUAUAUCCAUUUAGUUUUAGAACAUUGUAUUAACACUACUAUUGUUUCAAAAAGAGUCUGAAUGUAAUUUAGAAGAUGAUUCUAUCGUAUGAUUCUUCAACGAAUCCAUCAUAACUUACAAAAAACUACAGCAUUUGUUCUAUUUACUUGUCAAUAAUCGUAGUUGCAGAAGCAUUUGUAUUUCCAAAACCAAAUUUGGUAUUUAAUUAUGAAGUAUGAGUAAAGACAUAUUCGCCUACAA